rnacentral:rRNA from 1 species
CCGAAGCCUGCUCAGCAGAACGACCCGUGAACUUGUUUAUAAAACGAGGGUGYCGGAGCGGGUUUUGCCCGGUUCGGCCCUUCACAAGGCCUCGAUCGGGGAACCAGGGUGUGUAGGCUUGGCCUUCCCCCGGGGUGCCCCGGUUGCGGCCUGAUAACAAACCCCCGGCGCGGAAAGCGCCAAGGAAUCGCGUGCAAAAAGAUCGACCGCCCAUAUUUGCUCCGGGAACGGUGUGCAAAAGGGAUGCGUCGUGAUUUGAGAAUCUAAACGACUCUCGGCAACGGAUAUCUCGGCUCUCGCAUCGAUGAAGAACGCAGCGAAAUGCGAUACUUGGUGUGAAUUGCAGGAUCCCGCGAACCAUCGAGUUUUUGAACGCAAGUUGCGCCCGAAGCCUUCUGGCCGAGGGCACGUCUGCCUGGGUGUCACUCAACCGUCGCCCCAACCCCCUCCUCUUGGAAGGGAAUCGGGCGGAACAUGGCCUCCCGUUUGCACUUAGCAUGCGGUUGGCCCAAAUGUCCGGUCCUCGGCAGCUUCGCCAUGGCAAUCGGUGGUUGUAUGACCCUCGCUAAAUGCUGUGAGCGUUCCGGUGCCGGUGCGACCCAUGAGACCCCAAAGCGUUUUGUUAGACGCGCUCACAAUGCGACC